GGGAAGUGUCGCUGUCUUGAGGUGAGCGCGGCUCUGCAACGUUGAUACUGGGUAACUGAUGGACAGCUAAGUAUCUUGGAUCUGGUGAAGACGAUGGUUUUGUUAAUAUUGAUUUGGGGACAGUCAUAACCGGCUUUGACGUUUCCUGCUUUGAUUCUCCCACUGAAACUUUCUCAGAUGCAGGACCAGAACGUGGGGCUGUUGCUGCAGCAGCAGAGGCGCUGCCCAAGGCUGUCCUCGGGUCUCUACCAGAAACUGUC
rnacentral:lncRNA from 1 species